CAGGGUCAUGGCUGCCUAAAAUGCAUCCAAACAUUCAGUAUCUCCUCCCUCUGCAUGCAGACACUGAACUUUUCUCAUAGAGAUUCAUUGAUUCAAUUAAUCUCUGUGAGGAGAUGCUGAUUGGCCAGGGCUGUGUUUGAAUCAUGCUGGCUCUGCCCCUUUGUCAGUCUCAGUCAAUCAUAUGGAGAAGCACUGAUCAGGCUACCACUUCUACUGAUGUCAGCAGACAGCAUGUUUUUCUGAGGCAAACAGCAUGCAGAGUUACAGCUUCAGGCUUGCAUACAGUAAGAUGUUGCUAUAUUUAUGGAGGCAUGAGGGGCUAGAUGGUGGUUAACACUAUAGGGGUCAGGAAUACAUUUGUGUUCCUG